UACAGAGGUCUCAAGCGUUGUUCGGAUUCAUUGGGCGUAAAGGGUGCGUAGGCGGCGCGGUAAGUCGGGUGUGAAAUCUCGGGGCUUAACUCCGAAACUGCAUUCGAUACUGCCGUGCUUGAGGACUGGAGAGGAGACUGGAAUUUACGGUGUAGCGGUGAAAUGCGUAGAUAUCGUAAGGAAGACCAGUGGCGAAGGCGGGUCUCUGGACAGUCCUGACGCUGAGGCACGAAGGCCAGGGGAGCAAACGGG
rnacentral:rRNA from 1 species